rnacentral:rRNA from 1 species
GAUGAACGCUAGCGGCAGGCUUAACACAUGCAAGUCGUGGGGCAGCGCGAGGUAGCAAUACUUUGGCGGCGACCGGCAAACGGGUGCGGAACACGUACGCAACCUUCCUCAGAGCGGGGAAUAGCCUCUCGAAAGAGAGAUUAAUACCCCAUAGUAUCUCGAAACUGCAUGGUUUUGAGAUUAAAGCUUCGGCACUUUGAGAUGGGCGUGCGGCUGAUUAGGUAGUUGGUAGGUAACGGCCUACCAAGCCAACGAUCAGUAGCUGAUGUGAGAGCAUGAUCAGCCACACGGGCACUGAGACACGGGCCCGACUCCUACGGGAGCAGCAGUGAGGAAUAUUGGUCAAUGGAGAAACUCUGAACCAGCCAUGCCGCGUGAAGGAUGAAGGUCCUCUGGAUUGUAAACUUCUUUUAUAGAAGAAGAAACCCCAUUAUUCUUAAUGGGUUGACGGUACUCUAUGAAUAAGCACCGGCUAACUCCGUGCCAGCAGCCG